GACGAACGCUGGCGGCGUGCCUAAUACAUGCAAGUAGAACGCUGAAGGAGGAGCUUGCUUCUCUGGAUGAGUUGCGAACGGGUGAGUAACGCGUAGGUAACCUGCCUGGUAGCGGGGGAUAACUAUUGGAAACGAUAGCUAAUACCGCAUAAGAGUAGAUGUUGCAUGACAUUUGCUUAAAAGGUGCAAUUGCAUCACUACCAGAUGGACCUGCGUUGUAUUAGCUAGUUGGUGGGGUAACGGCUCACCAAGGCGACGAUACAUAGCCGACCUGAGAGGGGGAUCGGCCACACUGGGACUGAGACACGGCCCAGACUCCUACGGGGGGCAGCAGUAGGGAAUCAUCGGCAAUGGACGGAAGUCUGACCGAGCAACGCCGCGUGAGUGAAGAAGGUUUUCGGAUCGUAAAGCUCUGUUUUAAGGGAAGAACGAGUGUGAGAGUGGAAAGUUCACACUGUGACGGUAUCUUACCAGAAAGGGACGGCUAACUACGUG
rnacentral:rRNA from 1 species